rnacentral:lncRNA from 1 species
GCUUCCCACCCAGGAUUGUGACAGACUGGGUGUGGUGACCCAUGAGACUCUGGGCCAGAAUUCCAAGAUCUGGAACCGCUGUGUUGGGUAUAGGGGGGUGGACACUGCAACCAGGGCGACCUGGGUUGAGUCCAAACUGCCCACUUCUGACAGCCUGGGGGGCUCGGGCCUGCCAUUUGCCCUCUCUGAGCCUCAGUUCCCGCAUCCAUAUGAGGGGAAGGAACAACACCCCUAUGAAAGCAAAUGGCCUCCCGCGUGGAAUUCUGCAUCCAGCUCAAGUGGGCUCACAGAGCCGCUAAAAACCAGAAGUGGACCACUCGGCUUGGAAGAAUCUUCUGACAAUUCAGGCCGGAGGUUUAGAGGACUUCAGAGCCCUGCGGGACGAGAGGCCAUCAGUUCCGGCGAGCAAGCUCCUGCGCAGCCCCACUUCCCGCCCGUGCAGGGUCUGUGCACAUCUAAACCUAGGAUGGAUUCUUGCGUGAAGAUGGUCAGCGUUGCAGAGUCCACACCAAGCGCACGUCAUCCCAUUUGAACUACAAGAAAGAUGGCUCCUCUAAAUCGAUGUUCUGGUUAGUAGACUGACCACAGAAUCUACGUGGAUAACUAAUUUUGAGGGAACUCAGUCAAAGCUUAUCAAGUCAAAAACAUUGAGUGAGAGCCUCCUCUGCUCCACGUUCUGUGGUUAGCGCUGCGGGUCAAGGGUGAAAAUGACACGGUCUAUGGCCUCAAGCAAGUAAUGGUUUUAUAUCUCAGCCAUAGGCUCUUCCUUUCCAGAAAGGAGUGGUGGCCAACUCCCAGAGCAAUGGGAAUCUGUUGGUUCUUCCGAGUCAUGACUACGAGCGUCAAGCCCUUUGUACUCCACACACACACACACGGAAGAACCAGCUAAGGAGCUUCUGAUUGGCAGGAGGUGAUAAGUUG